GUGGGGAAUUUUGCACAAUGGGCGAAAGCCUGAUGCAGCGACGCCGCGUGAGGGAUGGAGGCCUUCGGGUUGUGAACCUCUUUCGCUCAUGGUCAAGCCGCGCGUGUGCGUGUGGUGAGGGUAGUGGGUAAAGAAGCGCCGGCUAACUACGUGCCAGCAGCCGCGGUAAUACGUAGGGCGCGAGCGUUGUCCGGAAUUAUUGGGCGUAAAGGGCUUGUAGGCGGUUGGCCGCGUCUGCCGUGAAAUCCUCUGGCUUAACUGGGGGCGUGCGGUGGGUACGGGUUGACUUGAGUGCGGUAGGGGAGACUGGAAUUCCGGGUGUAGCGGUGGAAUGCGCAGAUAUCAGGAGGAACACCGGUGGCGAAGGCGGGUCUCUGGGCCGUUACUGACGCUGAGGAGCGAAAGCGUGGGGAGCGAACAGGAUUAGAUACCCGGGUAGUCC
rnacentral:rRNA from 1 species